ACUCUAGGGAGACUGCCGGUGUAAACCGGAGGAAGGUGGGGAUGACGUCAAGUCCUCAUGGCCCUUACGCCUAGGGCUACACACGUGCUACAAUGGCGACCACAGAGCGCUGCGAACCCGCGAGGGGGAGCCAAUCGCAAAAAGGUCGUCCCAGUUCGGAUCGUAGUCUGCAACUCGACUGCGUGAAGUCGGAAUCGCUAGUAAUCGCGUGUCAGCAUAACGCGGUGAAUACGUUCCCGGGCCUUGUACACACCGCCCGUCACACCAUGGGAGUCGAUUGCUCCAGAAGUCGGUGAGCUAACCUGCAAGGGAGGCAGCCGCCCAAGGAGUGGUCGGUAACUGGGGUGAAGUCGUAACAAGGUA
rnacentral:rRNA from 1 species